GCAGCAGGCGCGCAAAUUACCCAAUCCCGAUUCGGGGAGGUAGUGACAAUAAAUACUGAUACAGGGCUCUUUUGGGUCUUGUAAUUGGAAUGAGUACAAUUUAAAUCCCUUAACGAGGAACAAUUGGAGGGCAAGUCUGGUGCCAGCAGCCGCGGUAAUUCCAGCUCCAAUAGCGUAUAUUAAAGUUGUUGUGGUUAAAAAGCUCGUAGUUGAACCUUGGGCCUGGCUGGCCGGUCCGCCUCACCGCGUGUACUGGUCCGGCCGGGCCUUUCCCUCUGUGGAACCUCAUGCCCUUCACUGGGUGUGGCGGGGAAACAGGACUUUUACUUUGAAAAAAUUAGAGUGCUCCAG
rnacentral:rRNA from 1 species